GUACCCUGCAAGUGUUGGCUGUAUUCCUGAUAGUAUGUGUUCUGACUGAAUAUGUCUUUGCUGACGCCUUACCUGAUGAAAAUGAGCUUGUAAAGCAAACUAGAAUUCAACAAGACAUAGAGCUUGCAGAGCAAAGUAGAAUUCGCCGAGACGUUGGUUCGGAAGAGGAGGAGGAAGGCUCGAAAGAAGAGGAGGACGAAGAAGAUGAGUACAAGAAAAAAUAGAAGGAUGUUCAAAAUUUUGCACUGAUCAUUUGUUAUUCGUUGAAUAAUUAAUGUGAUUGGCUGAAAGAAAGAAGAACACUACGCAUGCUCAACAAUCGUUUAUCCUGUUUCGGUACUUGUUUCAUUAUGAUUAUUAAUUAGACCUUACUAUUUAAUUCAUUAUUCAUUAUUAUUAUAAUUACUAUUGUAUUAAUUAAUUACAUACGUAAUGCAUAAUAAAUUAUAGUCUGUAUAAUUAACAUUCCAAUAAAUACAAAUAUCAAUAGUUUAUAACAUAUCUGAUGCUAAAUACAUAGUACAGUACAUUAAUUGAUAUACAAUAGAGGGGUUUUUACCUAAUAAAGGCAAUUACACGAAAUUA